GAGCAGUGCAGACAGAGACAGAACAGACAAAAUACAAAAUCAGGCUCAAAGACUGAUCUGUGAAGCAGCUCUGUCCUCUACAAAGCUCUGCUCUGAAUAUCUGAGUCUGAUGUUUGUUGAUCUCUUUUCUUUGAAUGCUUCCACGGAUUGAUGAUGUGUGUCAGAGUUCAGCAGCUCAACUUUACUGAAAUGUUAUGAAGCUCAAAGAGAAAGUAAAACGAGGCAGAGGCUGAUCGUCUAUCAGAGCUAACUGUCUGUGAUGUUGCACUCAGUACAAGUGGAGACAACAAGCUGAGUAAAAGUGCAACAGGUAAACACUGAAGAUAGCACAGGUGAUGAUCAGAACAAAGAGCAGACAGGGAGACUUCUACCUGGACAUGGAUCACCUGCUGAUGCUGCUGCUGCUGCUGUGGAGCACAGGAGUCCAGGUUGAUGGAAAACACAGUUCUACAGAGCCUGUUGAUGUCAGGCUGGUGGGAGGAGCCGGUCACUGUGCAGGAACACUGGAGGCAAAACAUCUGGGAGAGUGGAGACCAUUGUGUGCCUCUCAUGAUUCCUGGACCCUGAAAGAAGCAGCUGUUUUCUGUGAAUAUCUGGACUGUGGCUCUGCUGUUUAUGUAGAAGAAAGACAUUCCUCAUAUACAUCUGCUUGGUUGAUCAGUUCUGAUUGUGUCCUGUCCAGAUCUC
ensembl:lncRNA